UCCUGGCUCAGAUUGAACGCUGGCGGCAUGGAUUAGGCAUGCAAGUCGAACGAGAAGCCAUCUUCGGAUGGCAGACAGUGGCGAAAGGGUGAGUAACACGUGAGCAAUCUGCCCCCGAGUUCGGAAUAGCCCGCGGAAACGUGGAGUAAUACCGGAUACCGAGAUCGUGGCCGCAUGGCCGUGUUCUCGAAAGUUUUUCGCUCGGGGAUGAGCUCGCGCCCCAUUAGCUUGUUGGCGGGGUAACGGCCCACCAAGGCUACGACGGGUAGGUGGUCUGAGAGGACGAUCACCCACACCGGGACUGAGACACUGCCCGGACUCCUACGGGAGGCUGCAGUCGAGAAUCUUCCGCAAUGGGCGAAAGCCUGACGGAGCAAUGCCGCGUGGGGGAUGAAGGCCUUCGGGUCGUAAACCCCUGUCAGAUGGGACGAAAUUUGACGGUACCAUCAGAGGAAGCCACGGCUAACUACGUGCCAGCAGCCGCGGUAAUACGUAGGUGGCGAGCGUUAAUCGGAUUUACUGGGCGUAAAGGGUCCGUAGGGGGUCUGUCAAGUCGGGUGUGGAAAUCCUGCGGCUCAACCGCGGAACUGCACUCGAUACUGACGGGCUUGAGUCCGCGAGGGGUGAACGGAAUUCCUGGUGUAGCGGUGGAAUGCGUAGAUAUCAGGAAGAACACCCGAUGGCGAAAGCGGUUCACUGGCGCGGUACUGACCCUGAGGGACGAAAGCGUGGGUAGCGAACAGGAUUUAGAUACCCUGGUAGUCCACGCCGUAAACGUUGUGCGCUAGAUGUGGGGGGACUGAUCCCCUCCGUGUCCAAGCUAACGCGAUAAGCGCACCGCCUGGGGACUACGGUCGCAAGACUAAAACUCAAAGGAAUUGACGGGGGCCCGCACAAGCGGUGGAGUAUGUGGCUUAAUUCGAGGCAACGCGAAGAACCUUACCCGGGUUUGACAUAUACCGGACCGCCAUGGAAACAUGGCCUCCCUUCGGGGCCGGUAUACAGAUGCUGCAUGGCUGUCGUCAGCUCGUGCCGUGGGGUGUUCGGUUAAGUCCGGCAACGAGCGCAAUCCACAUCGUCAGUUACCAGCGCGUAAUGGCGGGGACUCUGGCGAGACUGCCCGCGUCAAGCGGGAGGAAGGCGUGGACGACGUCAAGUCCGUAUGGCUCUUACAUCCGGGGCUGCACACGUGCUACAAUGGUCGGUACAAUGGGACGCGAUGCCGCGAGGCGGAGCCAAUCCCCAAAGCCGGCCCCAGUUCGGAUCGAAGUCUGCAACUCGACUUCGUGAAGUCGGAAUCGCUAGUAAAGGGGCAUCAGCAACGGCCCCUUGAAUACGUUCCCGGGCCUUGUACACACCGCCCGUCACAUCAUGGAAGCCUGCUGCACCCGUAGUCGUCGACCCAACCCGCAAGGGAGGGAGACGCCGAAGGUGUGUCCGGUAACUGGGAUGAAGUCGUAACAAGGUAACC
rnacentral:rRNA from 1 species